AUUGAACGCUGGCGGCAGGCCUAACACAUGCAAGUCGGACGGUAGCACAGAGGAGCUUGCUCCUCGGGUGACGAGUGGCGGACGGGUGAGUAAUGUCUGGGAAACUGCCUGAUGGAGGGGGAUAACUACUGGAAACGGUAGCUAAUACCGCAUAACGUCGCAAGACCAAAGAGGGGGACCUUCGGGCCUCUUGCCAUCAGAUGUGCCCAGAUGGGAUUAGCUAGUAGGUGGGGUAACGGCUCACCUAGGCGACGAUCCCUAGCUGGUCUGAGAGGAUGACCAGCCACACUGGAACUGAGACACGGUCCAGACUCCUACGGGAGGCAGCAGUGGGGAAUAUUGCACAAUGGGCGCAAGCCUGAUGCAGCCAUGCCGCGUGUAUGAAGAAGGCCUUCGGGUUGUAAAGUACUUUCAGCGGGGAGGAAGGUGUUGUGGUUAAUAACCGCAGCAAUUGACGUUACCCGCAGAAGAAGCACCGGCUAACUCCGUGCCAGCCGCCGCCGUAA
rnacentral:rRNA from 1 species